rnacentral:lncRNA from 10 species
GCUGGCAAUGGUGGGGAAAAAGUUAUAAAAAUUGUCUCUGCACCAUCUUCCUUUUGUCCUCUAAAAUAUUCACAUUAGCAAAAGUAUAUAACAGCUGAUGAAGAAAUACUGAUAAUUUGUCUUUCUUCUUUAAAAUAUGAAGACUUCGAAGUUAUUUAUCCAAACCAACCUGAUCAUUUCUUAAGAGUGAAUAUACCUUGGAAGACGUGUCCUGCCUUUAGUAGCGUCACAAUGGAUUACAUCCUCUAUAAAGCAGUCUGGGAUAUUCUGCCCAAUCAGAGGCUAACAUCUGCCACAAGACAAAUAUGGUGCCUGCCCCCAUGGAGCUCAUAUUCGAAUGGAGAAAAUGUCAACAAGUAUCCCACGGAGUGAACACUUCAAAAGGAGAAGCACAGGUGAGAAAAUCGAAUUUGGACACCGUUGAGGAGACUAUUGCAGUCAUCCAAGCUCAAGAUGGUGGAGCUUCAUCCUUGAGAAUAACCAAUGGGGAUAGAUUUAAGAGACACUUAGAGUCUGCAGCCAACAGGGCUGAAUGAGCAGAGAGUUAUGAUUCAGAAGAUCAUCUAAAAUUGAACAGCUGCCACUACUGGCAAUAAGUCUACUGCCAUUUGGUAGAUAACCUUCUUAUCACACAGAAAAAUAUCAGUACAGACAAAUAGACCGCAAAGAAAAUGAGACCAUCAGCAAAGAAGAUAAAGAAGUUUGUACAAAGCAACUUUUUAUAAAUGGAUGGCUGUCAGGCAAAAAUAAAUUUCCUGUGGACAAGACCAAGAGCAAGGCAAGAGGAAAAUAAACAUGUUUAAACU